CGCGUAGGCAAUCUGCCCAGUGGUGGGGAUGACUCGCCGAAAGGUGAGCUAAUACCGCAUAAGUUCAGUGGUUGAAAUACCACUGAGGAAAGCAGCAAUGCACCACUGGAGGAGCCUGCGUCCUAUCAGGUAGUUGGUGGGGUAACGGCCUACCAAGCCGAUGACGGGUAGCUGGUCUGAGAGGACGACCAGCCAGAAGGGGACUGAGACACGGCCCCU
rnacentral:rRNA from 1 species